ensembl:lncRNA
GUCAACUUCCCUUUGUGCUGUAGCGAAGGGCUCUUCUUUUAAUUGCUUUCAGCACGCAGCACAAGGAUGGCUUUGUGAACCCCACUUUCCUGCACUGCAGGGACAGGUUUGAUAAGAAUAUGUCAAAAGAUGUGGACUCUGCAUUUUACAAAUGCAGACAGAAACUGGUGAACUUACUGAACACACGCAUCUAGAACUGAGUCGUGGCAUUCAGUGACCAUCUCGAGCAAGCCUUUGCUGGGCAGAGGGCAAUCUGUAUUCCCCUCUGAAGUCCAGAAGAGCUUUUACGGCAGCAGAGACAUGACUGUGACGAGAGCCUGGUGAGCCUGCCCAGAGAUUGUGGAGGGUUGAGGAGCGUGUCCAAUCCCACCGGAGCCCAGCACCCAGGACAGCCUGAUGGAUUCUCUCCCCUUUGCGCAUUUAUGUUUCCUGCUUCUGACCGUUUCAUCUCCCUUUCUAAAUACUGCCACGUCCAGUGGUGACUCUGCUGAGGGGACAAAAGGCUCUUCCUUUAGCAGCACAAAAGUGACAGCCUACGACUGCAAGCAUUGUGGUGUCAGCGUAUGCGAGUUAUCCAAUUUCAGUUGCUGUACCAUAAUUGGUGAAACACAAGACGAGACGUUUUCAAAUGAAGUAAUUCAGCUGGUGACCAAUGAAACGCACAUCACUAUGUGUUUUCAGCAAGCAAAUACUUUUUCGGAACAAAUUUACGCCAUCAUCUGGGCAAAAGCUGGGGGAAUAGGAGAUUCAUGUGGCAUCCUGAAGGCUGAAGCUUCCCCAGAGAAUAGGGGGGAAACAGUCGUUUCAGAGCAGAAGAAGACUUGCUGUACAGCACAGGUCCAGCUCGCAGUGCCCAGCACCCCCUUAAAUUGCUACGCUGACAAGGACAAAAGCCCCCAGCUCGGCAGCCCUGAGGAUGGAAAUGAUGUCGGUUACAUGUCAUCUUCAGUCAGCAAACAAGGCACCAUUGGCAUCAGCACUACGUUUGUGUCUCUUGUGGCAUGUCUUGUAGGUCUGGCGUAUUGUGUUCUAAAAAACCGAACCCGUGAAGGUAAAAAUAAUGGAAUUGUUGAACAAUCACCACAUUCUCUCAGUGUUCAGCAAGACCAAUCUAUCAGCAUUACUUGCUCACUGAAAAGCUCACAUGAAGAAGAAGGGGUCUUCUUGCUCAGGACUCAUAUGAAAGCUGAUAUUUCUCAAAGCAAAAUAUUUCAACUAUCUUUCCUGCUUUUGCAAAUCGCUUGGAGUACUCAAAGCAAGAGAAGACAUUGGUGA